UACGAAGGGGGCUAGCGUUGCUCGGAAUUACUGGGCGUAAGGGCGCGUAGGCGGCACUGUUAGUCAGGCGUGAAAGUCCUGGGCUCAACCUGGGAACUGCGCUUGAUACGGCAGAGCUUAGAGGAUGGAAGAGGCUCGCGGAAUUCCCAGUGUAGAGGUGAAAUUCGUAGAUAUUGGGAAGAACACCGGUGGCGAAGGCGGCGAGCUGGUCCAUUACUGACGCUGAGGCGCGACAGCGUGGGGAGCAAACAGG
rnacentral:rRNA from 1 species